GGCUCAGGACGAACGCUGGCGGCGUGCUUAACACAUGCAAGUCGAACGGUGAUGCCCAGCUUGCUGGGCGGAUCAGUGGCGAACGGGUGAGUAACACGUGAGUAACCUGCCCCAGACUCCGGGAUAAGCCUUGGAAACGAGGUCUAAUACUGGAUACGAGACGCCCCUGCAUGGGGAGUGUCUGGAAAGAUUUAUCGGUCUGGGAUGGACUCGCGGCCUAUCAGCUUGUUGGUGGGGUAAUGGCCUACCAAGGCGACGACGGGUAGCCGGCCUGAGAGGGCGACCGGCCACACUGGGACUGAGACACGGCCCAGACUCCUACGGGAGGCAGCAGUGGGGAAUAUUGCACAAUGGGCGAAAGCCUGAUGCAGCGACGCCGCGUGAGGGAUGAAGGCCUUCGGGUUGUAAACCUCUUUCAGCAGGGAAGAAGCGCAAGUGACGGUACCUGCAGAAGAAGCGCCGGCUAACUACGUGCCAGCAGCCGCGGUAAUACGUAGGGCGCAAGCGUUGUCCGGAAUUAUUGGGCGUAAAGAGCUCGUAGGCGGUUUGUCGCGUCUGGUGUGAAAACUCAAGGCUCAACCUUGAGCUUGCAUCGGGUACGGGCAGACUAGAGUGCGGUAGGGGUGACUGGAAUUCCUGGUGUAGCGGUGGAAUGCGCAGAUAUCAGGAGGAACACCGAUGGCGAAGGCAGGUCACUGGGCCGCAACUGACGCUGAGGAGCGAAAGCAUGGGGAGCGAACAGGAUUAGAUACCCUGGUAGUCCAUGCCGUAAACGUUGGGCACUAGGUGUGGGGCUCAUUCCACGAGU
rnacentral:rRNA from 1 species